rnacentral:rRNA from 1 species
AUACACCUCUCCCGGCCCACCUAACAGGUGCAAGUCUAGUGAGCGGCGGACGGGUGAGUAAUGUAUGGGGACUGCCCGAUAGAGGUGGAUAACUACUGGAAACGGUGGCUAAUACCGCAUACUAUCGGAAAACCCAUAUGGGAUUAGCUAGUAGGUGGGGUAAAGGCGCACCUAGGCGACGAUCUCUAGCUGUUCUGAGAGUAUGAUAGGCCACACUGGGACUGAGACACGGCCCAGACUCCUACGGAGGCAUCAGUAGGGAAUAUUGCACAAUGGGCGCAAGCCUGAUGCAGCCAUGCCUCGUGUAUGAAGAAGGCUUUAGGGUUGUAAAUUACUGUCAGCGGGGAGGCGUUAAUCGCAGAGGAAGCACCGGCUAACUCCGUGCCAGCAGCCGCGGUAAUUC